rnacentral:rRNA from 1 species
AGGAUAAACGCUGGCGGCGUGCUUAAUACAUGCAAGUCGAGCGGCAGCAUGGUCUUCGGACUGAUGGCGAGCGGCGGACGGCUGAGUAACGCGUAGGAACGUACCCCAAAGUGAGGAAUAACUGCCCGAAAGGGUAGCUAAUGCCGCAUGUGGUCUUCGGAUUAAAGCUUUAUGCGCUUUGGGAACGGCCUGCGUACGAUUAGCUUGUUGGUGAGGUAAUGGCUCACCAAGGCAAUGAUCGUUAGCUGGUCUGAGAGGAUGACCAGCCAGACUGGGACUGAGACACGGCCCAGACUCCUACGGGAGGCAGC